UACGUAGGCAGCAAGCGUUGUUCGGAAUUACUGGGCGUAAAGAGUGUGUAGGCGGUGCUCUAAGUUCGUUGUGAAAUCUCCCGGCUUAACUGGGAGGGUGCGGCGGAAACUGGAGUGCUUGAGCGCGGGAGAGGAAAGCGGAAUUCCUGGUGUAGCGGUGAAAUGCGUAGAUAUCAGGAGGAACACCUGUGGUGUAGACGGCUUUCUGGACCGUAGCUGACGCUGAGACACAAAAGCGUGGGUAGCAAACAGG
rnacentral:rRNA from 1 species